UACAGAGGGUGCGAGCGUUGUCCGGAAUUACUGGGCGUAAAGCGUGUGUAGGCGGUCCCCUAAGUCGGGUGUGAAAGCCCUGGGCUCAACCCAGGAAGUGCACUCGAAACUGGAGGGCUAGAGUAUCGGAGAGGUUGGUGGAAUUCUCGGUGUAGAGGUGAAAUUCGUAGAUAUCGAGAGGAACACCGGUGGCGAAGGCGGCCAACUGGACGAAUACUGACGCUGAGACACGAAAGCGUGGGGAGCAAACAGG
rnacentral:rRNA from 1 species